rnacentral:rRNA from 1 species
GACGAACGCUGGCGGCGUGCCUAAUACAUGCCAGUUGAGCGAUGAAGAUUGGUGCUUGCACCAAUUUGAAGAGCAGCGAACGGGUGAGUAACGCGUGGGGAAUCUGCCUUUGAGCGGGGGACAACAUUUGGAAACGAAUGCUAAUACCGCAUAAUAACUUUAAACAUAAGUUUUAAGUUUGAAAGAUGCAAUUGCAUCACUCAAAGAUGAUCCCGCGUUGUAUUAGCUAGUUGGUGAGGUAAAGGCUCACCAAGGCGAUGAUACAUAGCCGACCUGAGAGGGGGAGCGGCCACAGUGGGACGGAGACAAGGCCCAAACUCCUACGGGAGGCAGCAGUAGGGAAUCUUCGGCAAUGGACGAAAGUCUGACCGAGCAACGCCGCGUGAGUGAAGAAGGGUUUCGGAUCGUAAAACUCUGUUGGUAGAGAAGAACGUUGGUGAGAGUGGAAAGCUCAUCAAGUGACGGUAACUACCCAGAAAGGGACGGCUAACUACGUG